rfam:Deferribacter desulfuricans SSM1 DNA, complete genome.
GCUGGUAUAGCUCAGUAGGUAGAGCAACGGAUUCGUAAUCCGUAGGUCGCCGGUUCAAGUCCGGCUACCAGCU